rnacentral:rRNA from 1 species
GAUGAACGCUGGCGGCGUGCCUAAUACAUGCAAGUCGAGCGAACAGACGAGGAGCUUGCUCCUCUGACGUUAGCGGCGGACGGGUGAGUAACACGUGGAUAACCUACCUAUAAGACUGGGAUAACUUCGGGAAACCGGAGCUAAUACCGGAUAAUAUAUUGAACCGCAUGGUUCAAUAGUGAAAGACGGUUUUGCUGUCACUUAUAGAUGGAUCCGCGCCGCAUUAGCUAGUUGGUAAGGUAACGGCUUACCAAGGCGAUGAUGCGUAGCCGACCUGAGAGGGUGAUCGGCCACACUGGAACUGAGACACGGUCCAGACUCCUACGGGAGGCAGCAGUAGGGAAUCUUCCGCAAUGGGCGAAAGCCUGACGGAGCAACGCCGCGUGAGUGAUGAAGGUCCUCGGAUCGUAAAACUCUGUUAUUAGGGAAGAACAAAUGUGUAAGUAACUAUGCACGUCUUGACGGUACCUAAUCAGAAAGCCACGGCUAACUACGUG